UAGGGAAUUUUCCACAAUGGGCGAAAGCCUGAUGGAGCAACGCCGCGUGCAGGAUGAAGGUUUUCGGAUCGUAAACUGCUUUUAUGUGCGAAGAAUAUGACGGUAACACAUGAAUAAGGGUCGGCUAACUACGUGCCAGCAGCCGCGGUCAUACGUAGGACCCAAGCGUUAUUCGGAAUUACUGGGCGUAAAGAGUUGCGUAGGUGGCAAGUUAAGUGGGUAGUGAAAUUGUGUGGCUCAACCAUACACACAUUACCUAAACUGGCUAGCUAGGGUGUGAUAGAGGUAACUGGAAUUCCAAGUGUAGGAGUGAAAUCCGUAGAUAUUUGGAGGAACACCGAUGGCGUAGGCAGGUUACUGGAUCACAACUGACACUGAGGCACGAAAGCGUGGGGAGCAAACGGGAUUAGAUACCCAAGUAGUCCCUGAGCGGGCUGGCAAGGCGCAU
rnacentral:rRNA from 1 species